ensembl:snoRNA
ACAACUGUAGUUUCCACUAUAGAUGCAAGAAAAAUGUCCUCGCGCUUUCUGUCUGCCUGAUUGUGGCAGCCAAGAUUGAAUAGAGGAAUACAGAG